GCUUCCUUAGCUCAGCUGGCUAGAGCAACUGACUCUUAAUCAGUGGGUCCGGGGUUCGAGCCCCCGAGGGAGCACAA
rnacentral:tRNA from 1 species